ACGAACGCUGGCGGCGUGCUUAACACCUGCCAGUCGAACGGAAAGGCCUGCUUUCCCUUGUGGAUUGCGGGUACUCGAGUGGCGAACGGGUGAGUAACACGUGAGUGAUCUGCCCCCAACUUGGGUAUAAGCCUGGGAAACUGGGUCUAAUUCCCGAUAGGACUGCAGGGUGGUGCCUGUGGUGGAAAACGAUUUUCUAGUGGUUGGGGAUGAGCUCGCGGCCUAUCAGCUUGUUGGUGGGGUAAUGGCCUACCAAGGCGGCGACGGGUAGCCGGCCUGAGAGGGUGGACGGCCACAUUGGGACUGAGAUACGGCCCAGACUCCUACGGGAGGCAGCAGUGGGGAAUAUUGCACAAUGGGCGGAAGCCUGAUGCAGCGACGCCGCGUGGGGGAUGACGGCCUUCGGGUUGUAAACUCCUUUCGACCGCGAGGAAGCCACCUGGUUGGAAGGGUGGUGACGGUAGUGGUAGAAGAAGCACCGGCUAACUACGUG
rnacentral:rRNA from 1 species